AAAAAAAAAAGAAAAUAAUGUUAAAUUUGAAAAUUGUGCUACAAUAAACAAUACUAAAAAUAUAUUUGAUCAUUCAAAAAAUGAGUUAAAAAUGGGAACCAUAUUUAGUGAUAGUGAAACAUACAUCCGUGGUAACCAAAUAAGAAGCAGCGUCGACAGUCAAACGUGUACCAACGAAAAUGAAAUAAAAAAAAAUAACAAAAAAAUAAAUAUUGUAGAUGGAAAAAAUGUAAAAAAUCAACUCAAUUUGGUUGAGCAAGUUGAUAAGUUUCAAUCCGAAUACUGUAUAUGCGCAUGUGGAACUGACAACUUUAUAAAAAUAUUUGAUAUCAGAAAAAAUAAUAAUAGUACAUGGUUGGCAAAAAUACCUAUAACAAAUAAAAUAGAAUGUAUAACUAACAUACCAAUAAAAAAUAGUAAAAAAUACGUAAUUAAAGAUUCUUCUGAUAUUUUAAAAAACAUUAUAAUUGCUAGUAGAGAUAAAACAGUAAAAACAUGGAAACGGGGGUGGGUAUCAUUUUAUCCACCAUCAUAUGACUGGUGUACUUCUUUAUCUUAUUUUAGUCUUGAUGAAUUAACAAGACAUACUAAUACUAUUACUAAUAAUAAUAAUGAUAUCAAUGUAUAUAACGAUAAGAAUGAUAAUGAUAGCUAUGUUGGUAAUAGUUGUAAAAACAGAGGUACUAGUCCAAACAUUGACUUUUGGAGUAAUAAUGAGCAGUGUGGUUGUAUUAACAAUACUACACUUGAUUAUGAUUCUUUAAUUGUCUCUGGUAGUAGGGAUUCACACCUUCGUUCAUGGUUAUACUCAACUCAUAACACAACAAACACGUGUAAUAAAUUUAUAAAAAUAAUAAAAAACGCUCACAUGGUUGAUAUAACUAGUACAGCUAAGUAUCAGCGUAGUGGUUUGGUAACAACCGAUAGGGAAGGAUACAUUCAAAUAUGGGAUUGUGCUUUAUCAUGUAACGUAAAUGUAAACUCAUUUAUGGAUAUGGAACUUUACAAUAAUAAUUUCAACUUAACAGUUAACAGAAUUGGCAAGAUGUUUAGGUUGGAUAUAUAUAUGUGUUUAAUUUUGAUGAAUGUGUCCGCAUGAUAUGUGAUAUAUAUAUAUAUACAUACAUACAUACAUACAUACAUACAUAUAUACAUACAUACAUACAUACAUAUAAGCUUUAAAAAAAAAAAAAAAAUGCUUUUUUAUUUUUGUUUUAUUUUUUGUUUCUACGUUGAAUUCAUUUUGUAAUAAUGUUAUUUUAUUAUUAAAAGUUUCAAUUGUUUUGAAUAGUUGUACUGUGUUAGAUAAAUGUACAUUGAACUUUAAUAUAAGUUCUGUUUUGCGCUGCUAUGUCUUGUUCUGUUUAGUUUAGUUUAGUGCAGUUUAUUUAUUUUAUUUUAUUUUAUUUUUUUUUAUUUUUUUUUUAGGCACUCGUCAAAUCCAAUAAACAAAGUUGUCUGCUAUCA
rnacentral:lncRNA from 1 species